CCCUUAGAUGUUCUGGGCCGCACGCGCGCUACACUGAUGAAUUCAACGAGCACUAACCUGUGCCGAAAGGUUCGGGUAAUCUUGUGAAAUUUCAUCGUGAUGGGGAUUGAUUUUUGCAAUUUUUAAUCAUAAACGAGGAAUGCCUAGUAAGCGUGAGUCAUCAGCUCACGUUGAUUACGUCCCUGCUCUUUGUACACACCGCCUGUCGCUCCUACCGAUUGAAUGUGCCAGUGAAAAGUUAGGAUUGGGCGUGGGAGACGGCAACGUAUUCCACAUCCGAGAAAAUCUUUAAACUUUCCCAUUUAGAGGAAGGAGAAGUCGUAACA
rnacentral:rRNA from 1 species